CCUACGGGGGGCAGCAGUGGGGAAUAUUGCACAAUGGGGGAAACCCUGAUGCAGCGACGCCGCGUGGGUGACGAAGUAUUUCGGUAUGUAAAGCCCUAUCAGCAGGGAAGAAGAUGACAGUACCUGACCAAGAAGCCCCGGCUAACUACGUGCCAGCAGCCGCGGUAAUACGUAGGGGGCAAGCGUUAUCCGGAUUGACUGGGUGUAAAGGGAGCGUAGGUGGCAUGGCAAGCCAGAAGUGAAAACCCGGGGCUUAACCCCGCGGAUUGCUUUUGGAACUGUCAGGCUGGAGUGCAGGAGGGGCAGGCGGAAUUCCUGGUGUAGCGGUGAAAUGCGUAGAUAUCAGGAGGAACACCGGUGGCGAAGGCGGCCUGCUGGACUGUAACUGACACUGAGGCUCGAAAGCGUGGGGAGCAAACAGGAUUAGAUACCCCGGUAGUC
rnacentral:rRNA from 1 species